GAAGAAGGCCAGAUGAUCGCUCUCCGCUCCCAGGCGGGGGGAGGAAAGUCCGGGCUCCAAAGAGCAGGGUGCUGGAUAACGUCCAGUGGGGGUGACCCUAAGGAAAGUGCCACAGAAAACAAACCGCCGGGGCAGCGCGCGGCAUGGCUUACGAGCGCGCAGGUCGCCUCGGUAAGGGUGAAACGGUGCGGUAAGAGCGCACCAAUCCCGGUGGGGACAUCGGGAUUCGGCAAACCCCACCCGGUGCAAGACCAAAUAGGGAGGCGUUCCCGGCCCCGAUUCAUCGAUACUGGGUGGGUCGAGGUGGGAGACAGGUUGCUCGCCUGAAGUCUCCGGGUUCGGUCGCUUGAGGCGGUCGGCAACGCCCGCCCCAGAGGAAUGAUCAUCACCGCCCGGUGUUUGGGCGGGACAGAACCCGGCUUACGGCCUCCUUCUUCC
rnacentral:RNase_P_RNA from 1 species